rnacentral:rRNA from 1 species
CGAGCGGAAGGCCCUUCGGGGUACUCGAGCGGCGAACGGGUGAGUAACACGUGAGCAACCUGCCCUAGGCUUUGGGAUAACCCCGGGAAACCGGGGCUAAUACCGAAUAGGACCUCUGACCGCAUGGUUGGUGGUGGAAAGUUUUUCGGCCUGGGAUGGGCUCGCGGCCUAUCAGCUUGUUGGUGGGGUGAUGGCCUACCAAGGCGACGACGGGUAGCCGGCCUGAGAGGGCGACCGGCCACACUGGGACUGAGACACGGCCCAGACUCCUACGGGAGGCAGCAGUGGGGAAUAUUGCACAAUGGGCGGAAGCCUGAUGCAGCGACGCCGCGUGAGGGAUGACGGCCUUCGGGUUGUAAACCUCUUUCAGCAGGGACGAAGCGUAAGUGACGGUACCUGCAGAAGAAGCGCCGGCCAACUACGUGCCAGCAGCCGCGGUAAGACGUAGGGCGCGAGCGUUGUCCGGAUUUAUUGGGCGUAAAGAGCUCGUAGGCGGCUUGUCGCGUCGACUGUGAAAACCCGCAGCUCAACUGCGGGCCUGCAGUCGAUACGGGCAGGCUAGAGUUCGGUAGGGGAGACUGGAAUUCCUGGUGUAGCGGUGAAAUGCGCAGAUAUCAGGAGGAACACCGUUGGCGAAGGCGGGUCUCUGGGCCGAUACUG